CAAAGUUUGAUCCGGCUCAGGAUGAACGCUAGCGGCAGGCUUAACACAUGCAAGUCGAGGGGCAGCGGGGUGUAGCAAUACACUGCCGGCGACCGGCGCACGGGUGCGUAACGCGUAUGCAACCUACCCAUAACAGGGGCAUAACACUGAGAAAUUGGUACUAAUUCCCCAUACAUUCGAAGAGGCAUCUCUUUGGGUUGAAAACUCCGGUGGUUAUGGAUGGGCAUGCGUUGUAUUAGCUAGUGGU
rnacentral:rRNA from 1 species